UGGGGAAUAUUGGACAAUGGGCGCAAGCCUGAUCCAGCCAUGCCGCGUGAGUGAUGAAUUCCCUAGGGUUGUAAAGCUCUUUCACCGGAGUAGAUAAUGACGGUAUCCGGAGAAGAAGCCCCGGCUAACUUCGUGCCAGCAGCCGCGGUAAUACGAAGGGGGCUAGCGUUGUUCGGAAUUACCGGGCGUAAAGCGCACGUAGACUGAUCGAUCAGUCAGGGGUGAAAUCCCAGGGCUCAACCCUGGAACUGCCUUUGAUACUGUCGAUCUGGGGUAUGGAAAAGGUGAGUGGAAUUCCGAGUGUAGAGGUGAAAUUCGUAGAUAUUCGGAGGAACACCAGUGGCGAAGGCGGCUCACUGGUCCAUUACUGACGCUGAGGUGCGAAAGCGUGGGGAGCAAACAGG
rnacentral:rRNA from 1 species